rnacentral:rRNA from 1 species
GAAAACUACAAGCAUAAGCUCAAAACUCAAAGGACUUGGCGGCGCUUUAGACCCACCUAGAGGAGCCUGUCCUAUAACCGAUAACCCCCGUUAAACCUUACCUUCUUUUGCCUCCAGUCUAUAUACCGCCGUCGUCAGCCUACCCUUUGAAGGUCACACCAGUAAGCAAGAUCGGUUUUGAGCCCCAGACGUCAGGUCGAGGUGUAGCAUAUAAGAAGCGAAGAGAUGGGCUACAUUUCCUAUGCAGGACUCACGAAUAAUGUUUUGAAACAAACAUAUUGAAGCAGGAUUUAGCAGUAAGUAAAAAAUAGAGUGUUUU